rfam:Salmo salar isolate Sally breed double haploid chromosome ssa14, whole genome shotgun sequence.
CGCAUUCACUACUGUAAGUCGCUCUGGAUAAGGGUGUCUGCUAAAUGUCUAAAA